UCUAUAAUACUCAACGGUGUUCUAAUACAUCUGCUUCAUAUCUUUUACAAAAAUAAAUAAAUAAACAAAUUAGAGUGAUGGCGGCGUGCUUUUUCCAUUUCCCCUCAAAUGAAAACCUAACCCUCACACUAUACUACUCACGCAGCCACAUUAGCAAACCGCCUCCUUAGAUGAUAUUUUUCCUAAUAUCUCAUUCUUCUCUAGGUCUCUGAUCUAUAACGUGUUAUUUCUUCGCGAUCGAAUCCCUCUCUGCUCUCAAGGAGCCUUUUCUAUCACUUCAGCUUCUUCUCAGUUCAAAGGAAUUCAUGUAUCAGUUUUUUAAUUUAGAGAAUUUACCGAUUUGUUGUUGUUGCUGCUGCUUAAUCAGGUCGGCAAAGUUCGAUUAAGUGUAGAGCAAAUGCACAUUAUCAAUGUAGUUUUUUCGGGUGUUGGUCGUGUUGUGGAGUGCUAUAAGGGUUAUCAUUUUUCUAAAUUGUUCUUAGGAGUUGUAUACUAUAACUUUCGUUUAUGUUAAUUAAGUUGUAAAUUUUGUAACUUAGUAAAAUUUCGUUGACUGUAAUGUAUUUUAAAUCGUUAAAUGUGAAUAACAACUUGUAUUUGGAAA